UACAGAGAGUACAAGCGUUAUCCGGAUUUACUGGGCGUAAAGCGUUUCGUAGGCGCUUCACUAAGUUAUGUUUCAAAGACCGGGGCUCAACCCCGGGAAGGGAUGUAAUACUGGUGGAGUCAGAAUUAUGUCGGGGCUAUUGGAACUGUCGGUGUAGGGGUGAAAUCCGUUGAUAUCGACAGGAACUCCGAGGGCGUAGGCAGAUAGCUAGGCAUAUAUUGACGCUGAGGAACGACAGCUAGGGGAGCGAAAGGG
rnacentral:rRNA from 1 species